CACGUAGGCACCAAGGCGUUGUCCGGAUUUACUGGGCGUAAAGGGCGCGUAGGCGGCGCGGUAAGUCACUUGUGAAAUCUCUGAGCUUAACUCAGAACGGCCAAGUGAUACUGCAAUGCUAGAGUGCAGAAAGGGCAAUCGGAAUUCUUGGUGUAGCGGUGAAAUGCGUAGAUAUCAAGAGGAACACCUGAGGCGAAGGCGGGUUGCUAGGCUGACACUGACGCUGAGUGCGCGAAAGCCAGGGGAGCAAACGGG
rnacentral:rRNA from 1 species